rnacentral:rRNA from 1 species
CCCUUAGAUGUCCUGGGCCGCACGCGCGCUACACUGAACGGAUCAGCGCGUUUUCCCUUCCCGAGAGGGACGGGUAACCUGCUGAACCCCGUUCGUGGUAGGGAUCGGGGCUUGCAAUUAUUCCCCGUGAACCAGGAAUGCCCAGUAAGUGCAAGUCAUAAGCUCGCGCUGAUUACGUCCCUGCCCUUUGUACACACCGCCCGUCGCUCCUACCGAUGGGGUGAUCCGGUGAAUGAUUCGGACUUCCGCAGUGCUAGCUACUAGCUUUGUGGAAGAAAGUCUUGUGAACCUUAUCACUUGGAGGAAGGAGAAGUCGUAACA